CUAAUCGCAUCUUUCCCUUCGGGGACAGAAGUGACAGGUGGUGCAUGGUUGUCGUCAGCUCGUGUCGUGAGAUGUUGGGUUAAGUCCCGCAACGAGCGCAACCCUUGCCUUUAUUGCCAGCAUUAAGUUGGGCACUCUAGAGGGACUGCCAGGAUAACCUGGAGGAAGGUGGGGAUGACGUCAAAUCAUCAUGCCCCUUAUGCUUAGGGCUACACACGUGCUACAAUGGGUGGUACAGAGGGCAGCCAAGUCGUGAGGCCGAGCUAAUCCCUUAAAGCCAUUCUCAGUUCGGAUUGUAGGCUGAAACUCGCCUACAUGAAGCUGGAGUUACUAGUAAUCGCAGAUCAGAAUGCUGCGGUGAAUGCGUUCCCGGGUCUUGUACA
rnacentral:rRNA from 1 species